rnacentral:tRNA from 1 species
AUCGGUUUAGUAUAAAAAGUACGUAUGCUUGUAGCUCAUAAAGUAAAAUAAAAUUAAUCGAAA